AGCUUUGAUAUAAUCUCUGCCUUGCUAACGAAGCGUUGGUGUUAAUCGCAACUUCGCUCUGAUACCAAUUGAUGCGAUCUCUCGAGUAUCAUAAAUAUUUCCUACGAAACGUAAGAUCUAUUCUUUAAUAUUUUUCUCUUUUUUAUAAAACCCUAGCACAAGACGACUAUUUAAAGAUAAUAAAACCCUAGAAUCCUAAUCUAACUAGAAAAGAUAAUUACCUAUACUAAUAAAAUACUUAAUA
rnacentral:lncRNA from 1 species